rnacentral:rRNA from 1 species
AUGGCUGCUGGAGACGGCGAGCCGGUGCUACAGUUGAAGAGCGUGUGCGUUGUGGGGGCCGGCAUGGCCGGCUUGGCGGCGGCGCGCGAGCUGCGGCGGGAGGGUCACGCGGUCACGGUCAUGGAGCAGAGCAGCGACGUCGGCGGGCAGUGGCUGUACGACCCCAGGACGGACGUCGUGGACCCGCUCGGCGCCGUGGAGCCGGUGCGCGUGCCAAGCAGCAUAUACGCAUGCCUUCGUCUCACCAGCCCGCGGGAGGUCAUGGGCUUCUCCGACUUCCAGUUCCUGCCCCGGGAGGGCGCCGGCCGCGACCUGCGCCGCUACCCCGGCCACCGCGAGCUGCACUGCUACCUCCGGAACUUCUGCGACGCGUUUGGCCUCAUGGACGCCGUCAAGCUCGACACCCGGGUCCUGAGGGUCGCCCCCGUGGCGAUGUCGAUGUCGACAACAACGCGCCGGUGGGCGGUGAGGUCCGUGCGGCGCCUCAGUGGCACCGAUGAUGAUGAUGAUGCGGGGAAAGAUGAGGAGGUGUUCGACGCCGUUGUCGUGGCUACAGGCAACUACGCGCAGAGGAUGCUGCCGAGCGACAUCCAGGGCAUGGGGGAAUGGAGGCGCCGGCAGCUGCACAGCCACUCGUACAGGACGCCGGUGCCGUUCCAUGACGAGGCCGUGGUGGUGGUCGGGUGCGGGGCCAGUGGCAAGGACAUCGCGCUAGACCUCGGCCGCGUCGCGAGGGAGGUGCACCUCGCCGCCAGCUCCGAGGCCGAGGCCGCCACGCCGGCAAUGUCGAGGAUGCUGGCCAACCACGGCGACGUCCUGCGCCUCCACCCGCGGGUACGCCAGCUACACACGGACGGGCAGGUAGAGUUCACAGACGGAUCCUCCGUCAUGGCCGACACGGUCAUCUACUGCACGGGUUAUGCCUACUCGUUCCCCUUCCUGGACACCGGCGGCGCGGUCACCGUGAGCGACGACGGCUACGUGGUCGGGCCGCUGUUCGAGCACGUGUUCCCACCGUCCCUGGCGCCGACGCUCUCCUUCGUGGGCGUGCCGAGGAAGGUCCUGAUCCCAUGGUUCUUCGAGGUGCAGGCGCGGUGGGUGGCGCAGGUGCUGUCCGGCCGGCGCACGCUGCCGUCAGAGGACCAGAUGCUGCGGUCAGUGGAGGAGCAGCUGCGCGCCAGGGAGGCCGCCGGCGUGGCGAGGAAGCACACGCACAACAUUGCCAGCGUCGAACCUCGAGAUAUGUACGAGUUCGGGGAGAAGUACUGCGACUUCACCCCGACGGAGGAGUGGAAGAAGGAGCUGAUCCUGUCCAGCAACGCGAGCAUGGAUGAUGACGUCGAGACCUUCCGCGACCGCGCCGCCGACGACAGCGAGAAGGUCCGGAAGGGUGUACAAGGAUGGCUCGGCGGCUUAGUUGCUCAAGCUCAAGAAGAAACUGCUGUUAAAACUGAAGACUCGCAAGCCCACGAGGCCCGGCAGGCCCCUGGCCUCACGAACCGGGACCAAUGGGCCCAUGGGUUCCGGUUCGUGACCGAACCGGAACUAAUGGGCUAA